CAGUAGUACACAAAAUUCACAGAAUCAUGGUGUUUCCAACAAUUAUACAUAUGCAUGCUCGAGAAUGACAAUGUAAUAAGGCCUACCUAUUCAUCUGCUACACACCACACGUUCCCCACAACUCGUCUACCGAAUCACCAAAAUAAUUUAGGAGCUGUUGCUCAGUGUGGGUAAACCACCAAUAACGAUUUACAGUCAAGCUGCCAAUAAUGUGGAUGAACCACAGAAAUGCAAAUAAACAACCAAUAUAAGUGUAGACGAGCUAUUAGAAAAUAGCGAUAAGUUGCAGGUAAGCUGCUAGAAAACAGUGUCACAGUUUUCAGCAUGUUUUUCCACGCGUCAAUGAUCAAUAUCCAUUAUACAGUAAACAUUACAAAGUAUAUCACAACUUACAUAAACAAUCAGAAUUAUGACACAUACUUGUACAAUGCAUACAUCCCAUACACAAUCAAACAAUCCUCAAACUGUACCUCUUAUAUACGACUUACCUAUUUAAGUACGUACCUUAUUUGGCACACCAUUUAUUUGAUUUUCGGCCAUUCGGCCAUGCCACAAACAACAAGCAUAAUUUUACCAAUUUUCAUCAUAUAACAUUAAUUUAUAACUAUUAACACAAAGGUAAGACUCACACACGCAGACACCAUUCACUUAGAUUAAGGGUCCCUUUGGAUUCUAACGCACUACAGUGCGUUGAUAAAUUUCCCCUUUAUUUUCAAUCGGACUGCACUGGGAUUGGACUGGACAGCCUUUGGAACAUUUUGCUUCUAGCACAGUGAGGAGCUUCUACCGCACUGGACAGCCUUAAGCUGACUGGUGGUAAAAGCUCCAGCUGGGGCAGUAGACAUUUGGGAAGACAAUAAUACCCAUACUUGGCUUGGCUGAUGCAAAAUACUCAGGUGUAUGUAUAUAAACACACACAUUUAUAGAAGCAGUAUAUGAACGAACAUUGAUAUUUUAUACAUGUUAUGUUAGACAUAAGUGAGAAAACACCCUAUAUUUUAAUCCAAUCAACAGCAGUAAAUACAUAACCAUUGAUGUUUAUAAACAAAGGAAAGAAAUUGAAAAACCCAGUAGGUAAAUCGUCAACAUAACUGAUGAGCAUUUUGAGUUUGCUGCCACCUUCAGAAACAAAACAAGAAAAAAAAAACGAACCUUGGUAUGAGGCCAAAGUUGAUCAGGAAACACAUGCAUUGUGCAACCUUCUUUACCCGAUUCCCACUCCACAACAUGGUGCUUGCUAAGACACCUGAUCCAAAGCAAAACCAGAAACAAUCCUACUGCCUCAAUUUGAAGAAGUAAUCGUAAAUGGGAAUGGGAAAUGGGAAUGAGAAAUGGGAGGAGGGGAAUCGAUGGAAGAGGGGAAAUGGGAAUGGGAAAUGGGAGGAGGGCACGGUGGAAGAGGGGAAAUGGGAAUGGGAAAUGGGAGGAGGGCACGGUGGAAGAGGGGAAAUGGGAAUGGGAAAUGGGAGGAGGGCACGGUGGAAGAGGGGAAUCGAUGGAAAAUGGAAGAUGAGAAUGGGGAAAUUGCAUUGUAUUUGUGUAUUUUAAAAAUAAAAAAAUAUAUGUAAUGUAUUUUAAAAAUAAAGAAAUAUAUGUAGUGUAUUUUAAAAAUAAAAAAAUAUAUGUAGUGUAUUUUAAAAAUAAAAAAUAUAUGUAGUGUAUUUUAAAAAUAAAAAAUAUAUUUAGUGUAUUUUAAAAAUAAAAAAUAUAUGUACUGUAUUUUAAAAAUAAAAAAUAUAUGUAGUGUAUUUUAAAAAUAAAAAAUAUAUGUACUGUAUUCGGUUUAUUCGAAUUACUUGAAGCAUGAAGAUCCAAUAUUUUUCUUGAUUCGCAUACUAAUUUUGAACUUAAAUCAUGAUAAUAAAAAAUUAUGGGAUUUGUGAAACAAAUUAGGGAAACAUUUCUUGUGAAGAUAUAAAACAACCCCAAAUGUACAGAGAACUUGAACCAGUUGAAUCAAAGACUCUAGUGUAUUUUAAAAAUAAAAAUGGCCAAUAUUAAGAGAUAUUCCAAGUUAUUCAUUCGACAAGCAAGUUUUAAUAGUUAUUGCAACAAUGGUUUUGCAUAAUUACAUUCGAAGACAUGCUUGGUCAAAUGAUGAGGAUGUUCGAGAAUUUGAGAAUAUACCGGACAUGCCAGUCUCUUCAAGCCAGUUUGACAGAGGUGAAUCGAGUUCUUCUAACAGAGAAAGUGAUCUUGAAAUCACAAUGUUAAGGGAAACCAUUGCAACUAGUUUAAUGAAUCAAUAUUUGUAAACACAUUUUGUAUCAUAACCUAAUUUCUAGUAAUAAUGAAACUUGUUAUGUCUUAUGUUACUAUAUUUUUUUAUUAAAAAUCAUCCGUUUAGAUACUUCAAAAUUUGAUCCAAGUAUAAUGUUAUUAUUUGUGAAAAUAAUAUUUAUCAUUGUUAUAAAAAAUAUUUAAUUAUAACUAUAAAAAAUUAAAAAUAAUUAUCAUUUUAUCUAAUAAAGAAUUUAAAUUAAUUAUAUAAUUCAUUAAAAUAUUGGAAGAUACAUUUUAAUAUUUUAUUAAAUAAAUUUGCAUAUUUUAAUAAUUUUAAAAAAGUAAAAUAAUUUAAAUAACUUCUAUUAUAUAUCAAUUCUAAUAUGAUGUCCUUAAUAGUCAUUUUUCAUUCUUACCCCAUUCCACCAUUGUUUCUAAUCUCACCGCUACAGUACCCAAUCUCACCGCUACAGUAACUAAUCUCACUGCCACCGCUAUUUUUAACCUUACCGGAGGUAAACACACCGCCCAUCCAAACUAGCCCUAAAUCCCACACCUUAGUUUCAGAAAUUGUAGAACUACCAAUCUGCACCUUCGCUUCUAAGCCUUAGAUGAGCCUAGAUACAAAAAUAACACUUAAAACCAGUAACUAAAAAUUAAUCUAAGGCCUUAGAGCAUUCAACCAAAACAACAACCAUUAACAGAAUAAAAUCGACACAAAAUCUUGCUUAAAUCCGCACUUACGCUAUCAUCGUUACUAGAUCUGAGAUAACGAUUGGACAAGACUAGAUGCACUAUCAAUUGGCAAGAUUAGGGGUUGUUUUAUCAGUGGAAAAAUCAAAGAAAUCACUGCUAUAAGGGGUGGCAAAUGAAGAGAAAACAACAGUCCAAAUCAAUGGCGUUCCAAGGGUGGUAACACCACAAACGGUGGUAGAAAAGGGGCUGACUAGGGCGACACAAAGGGAGAUCUUUGGGCAGAAAAUGGGACAAUUUUUAGGGCUAGAAACAGAAAUAGCAGCAAACAUCGACAAACAAAAGGAAAGAUAAGAGUAGGAAAAGAAAACUAACCAGUAUCACCACAAGUGAGGGAAAGGGGGCGGCAAUAGACAACAAAGGGAGGCUGAUUUGGGUGGCAUAAAGGAGAGUUUUAGGGCAGCAAAGAGGUUGAUUUAGAGAUUAA
rnacentral:lncRNA from 1 species